GGAGGAGCAGGCUAUCCUGGGACACGUCGUUACCUGACACCGCAUUCAAGGAAUACAACAAGGGCCGUCAGUUGGCUGGCUAAGGACGAUCCAGAGUGACCUGCCUCUGUCGCCUCGCUGCUGGGACGGAGGGCUCAUUACUGGCACCUGCUGGGCCUCGGCCCUCACCUUGACUAUGAAUGGCCGUCCACGUCAAAGGCCAGGGCUCCAGCUCAGCGUUUGACAGAUGGGCAGCCCAACUGCUGCCAACUGCUUUCCAUGCAAUAUUCAAGAUGAAAACAAAGCAAACUACAACUGCCAUGAGAUGCUGCUGAAAGCUCUGGAAGAAAACCUUAUACAUUUGCUGCAGCAGGGAUCAACAGACGGACAUUUAACAAGCUGCUCAGCUCAAAUGCACAUCUGUAAAUGUACAGCAGAGCGGGCAGGGCGGAGAUUCUUCUACACUUCUACACAUGUACAUUUGAAGAGAGAUGAGAUGUUCACUUCUUUGAAAUGAAUUCCUGGCCGGAGCCUGGAGCCCCCUAUUCUGUGUUGCUGUCCAUCUGUCGGCUGCAGGGCCUCCUCCACCAGCAGAUGUUUACUCCUUCUUCCUCGACCUGGGC